AUUCAACAGAAAAGUGCUUCUUAGCCACAAAUUUCAUUAAGAGUCUUGUCUUUGAUUCAAAAAAAGCCAAUAUGUUACAAAAGACUUCCCUUUUUCUCUUUUUAGUUGUAGUUCUAUAUCUCAUGAACGCAUGUUUCUCUCUGGAAGACGACGAAAGAUUUAUGUCAUCAAAGGAUGAAGAAGCCAAGGUUUUUCAGUUAAAGCCGAGGAAGAGGUCUCCGUGUAUUAUCGGCACCCGAUAUCGUAGCAAGCACUGUGUGGGAAAGAGAUUCUUCAAGGAACAAAACCUCAAGAUUACCGAGGAUUCAACAUAAGGAGCAAUCGAUGCUGAAUGACAGAAUAAUUAAAAACAGCAAUAGAAACUAUUUUAAAAGCAACUGCUUCCUCGGACUCCUGAACAAGUUCCCGUCAAGACUGCAAUCUACUGAUAGCUGUAUGCCAAAAAGAUCCGUCGGCUCAACACAUGAAGAAAGACCGUCCGCUAGUCGUUACUGAAUGCAUAUUGGCGGCAGGAGUCUUAUUAUAUAACAAUGUUUUUAGAAAUAUUGUUCAUGAGUAUUAUUUGUAAAGUAAAACUUAACUAAGAAAAUAGAAUAAAAACUUGAUUCCUUA